UGGACCUGUGAUGACGACUGGUGGCGUAUGAGUUAUUCACCAUGAAUACCGUGUCUGGAACUGAGGUCCAG
ensembl:snoRNA